UACGGAGGGGGCUAGCGUUGUUCGGAAUUACUGGGCGUAAAGCGCACGUAGGCGGCUUUGUAAGUUAGAGGUGAAAGCCCGAAGCUCAACUUCGGAAUUGCCUUUAAGACUGCAUCGCUAGAAUUGUGGAGAGGUAAGUGGAAUUCCGAGUGUAGAGGUGAAAUUCGUAGAUAUUCGGAAGAACACCAGUGGCGAAGGCGACUUACUGGACACAUAUUGACGCUGAGGUGCGAAAGCGUGGGGAGCAAACAGG
rnacentral:rRNA from 1 species